rnacentral:lncRNA from 1 species
GGUUUCCAUGGCACCCACGCUCUCCCGCGUCCUUUUUCCUUCCCUAGGAGGGUUAAUCUUUCACAUUUGUCUUCCAGCCUUCCUUUUCUCCACGAUCCCUUAAACGCUACUGUUGUACAAGGUUCUGUUCUUAGAUCUCUCUUCUUCACGCACUUUGUUUCCGGUAGGACCGCAUGUCAAUAUUAACUUCAAUACAGGAAUUCUGGAAGAGUAUCCUGAACAUUCUGAGCACAGCAGUUCCGGUCUGCACCACCUUCCACCAAAACACUUACUAUAUCGCCUAAGAAAUAGAAUAUAUCUUGACUAAGCUGCAAGGAUUGUGCAGAUGCAAAUUUGUAAUACAUAUUCAAAAUGCAAAGCCCUUUUGGGUCCAUUGAGAAGACACCUGAAGGCCUGUGAUGUUGCCUAGGGUAUGCACAGACAUCAUUUGGGUGAACCUUGCGUUAACA